CCUACGGGCGGCAGCAGUGAGGAAUAUUGGUCAAUGGCCGGAAGGCUGAACCAGCCAAGUAGCGUGCGGGAAGACUGCCCUAUGGGUUGUAAACCGCUUUUAUGCGGGGAUAAAGGUGUCCACUUGUGGAUGUUUGCAGGUACCGCAGGAAUAAGGACCGGCUAAUUCCGUGCCAGCAGCCGCGGUAAUACGGAAGGCCCGAGCGUUAUCCGGAUUUAUUGGGUUUAAAGGGUGCGCAGGCGGGCGUCCAAGUCAGUGGUCAAAUUGCGGGGCUCAACCCCGUACCGCCGUUGAAACUGCAUCCCUUGAGUUCGCGACAAGCAUGCGGAAUGCGUGGUGUAGCGGUGAAAUGCAUAGAUAUCACGCAGAACUCCGAUUGCGAAGGCAGCAUACCGGCGCGCAACUGACGCUCAUGCACGAAGGCGUGGGUAUCGAACAGGAUUAGAUACCCCAGUAGUC
rnacentral:rRNA from 1 species